rnacentral:RNase_P_RNA from 1 species
GGGUUGGGGGCCGCGGGGGCCCAGUGGGCCCUCGAGGAAGGUCCGGACUCCGCAGGGCAGGCCGCUCGGCGCAAGCCGAGAGGGGGCGACCCCUGGAAAGUGCCACAGAGAACAGACCGCCGAUCCGGCUCGGGGGCUCACGUCCCCGGGCGUCAUGGAGGCAAGGGUGAAACGGUGGGGUAAGAGCCCACCGCCGGGGCCGCGAGGUUCCCGGGCACGGCAAACCCCGGCCGGAGCAAGGCCAAAUAGGGAGGCGCUUGAGGGUGGCCCGCCCGAUGCCUCCGGGUAGGCCGCGGAGAUGCAUGGCCCCCGAGAAACAGAAUCCGGCCUAGUACCCUC